rnacentral:rRNA from 1 species
CUCCUACUGGAGGCAGCAGUGGGGAAUAUUGUACAAUGGAGGAAACUCUGAUGCAGCGACGCCGCGUGAAGGAUGAAGUAUUUCGGUAUGUAAACUUCUAUCAGCAGGGAAGAAAAUGACGGUACCUGACUAAGAAGCCCCGGCUAACUACGUGCCAGCAGCCGCGGUAAUACGUAGGGGGCAAGCGUUAUCCGGAUUUACUGGGUGUAAAGGGAGCGUAGACGGCACGGCAAGCCAGAUGUGAAAGCCCGGGGCUCAACCCCGGGACUGCAUUUGGAACUGCUGAGCUAGAGUGUCGGAGAGGCAAGUGGAAUUCCUAGUGUAGCGGUGAAAUGCUUAGAUAUCACGAAGAACUCCGAUUGCGAAGGCAGCCUGCUAAGCUGCAACUGACAUUGAGGCUCGAAAGUGUGGGUAUCAAACAGGAUUAGAUACCCUGGUAGUCCACACGGUAAACGAUGAAUACUCGCUGUUUGCGAUAUACUGCAAGCGGCCAAGCGAGAGCGUUAAGUAUUCCACCUGGGGAGUACGCCGGCAACGGUGAAACUCAAAGGAAUUGACGGGGGCCCGCACAAGCGGAGGAACAUGUGGUUUAAUUCGAUGAUACGCGAGGAACCUUACCCGGGCUUAAAUUGCAGAUGAAUUACGGUGAAAGCCGUAAGCCGCAAGGCAUCUGUGAAGGUGCUGCAUGGUUGUCGUCAGCUCGUGCCGUGAGGUGUCGGCUUAAGUGCCAUAACGAGCGCAACCCUUGUUGUCAGUUACUAACAGGUUUUGCUGAGGACUCUGACAAGACUGCCAUCGUAAGAUGUGAGGAAGGUGGGGAUGACGUCAAAUCAGCACGGCCCUUACGUCCGGGGCUACACACGUGUUACAAUGGGGGGUACAGAGGGCCGCUACCACGCGAGUGGAUGCCAAUCCCCAAAACCUCUCUCAGUUCGGACUGGAGUCUGCAACCCGACUCCACGAAGCUGGAUUCGCUAGUAAUCGCGCAUCAGCCACGGCGCGGUGAAUACGUUCCCGGGCCUUGUACACACCGC